rnacentral:miRNA from 1 species
UCUGCAGAGGCUUCCUUGGCU